UACGGAGGGUGCAAGCGUUAUCCGGAUUCCCUGGGUUUAAAGGGUGCGUAGGUGGGUCUGUAAGUCAGUGGUGAAAUCUCCAAGCUUAACUUGGAAACUGCCGUUGAUACUAUAGAUCUUGAAUGUUGUGGAGGUGAGCGGAAUAUGUCAUGUAGCGGUGAAAUGCUUAGAUAUGACAUAGAACACCAAUUGCGAAGGCAGCUCACUACACAAAGAUUGACACUGAGGCACGAAAGCGUGGGGAUCAAACAGG
rnacentral:rRNA from 1 species